UUCGGAGGUACUCGAGUGGCGAACGGGUGAGUAACACGUGGGCAAUCUGCCCUGCACUUCGGGAUAAGCCUGGGCAAACUGGGUCUAAUACCGGAUAGGACCUCAAGACGCAUGUCUUCUGGUGGAAAGCUUUUGCGGAAGCUUUGUGGGAUGGGCCCGCGGCCUAUCAGCUUGCUUGGUGGGGUGACGGCCUACCAAGGCGACGACGGGUAGCCGGCCUGAGAGGGUGUCCGGCCACACUGGGACUGAGAUACGGCCCAGACUCCUACGGGAGGCAGCAGUGGGGAAUAUUGCACAAUGGGCGCAAGCCUGAUGCAGCGACGCCGCGUGGGGGAUGACGGCCUUCGGGUUGUAAACCUCUUUCACCAUCGACGAAGGUCCGGGUUUUCUCGGAUUGACGGUAGGUGGAGAAGAAGCACCGGCCAACUACGUGCCAGCAGCCGCGGUAAUACGUAGGGUGCGAGCGUUGUCCGGAAUUACUGGGCGUAAAGAGCUCGUAGGUGGUUUGUCGCGUUGUUCGUGAAAUCUCACGGCUUAACUGUGAGCGUGCGGGCGAUACGGGCAGACUAGAGUACUGCAGGGGAGACUGGAAUUCCUGGUGUAGCGGUGGAAUGCGCAGAUAUCAGGAGGAACACCGGUGGCGAAGGCGGGUCUCUGGGCAGUAACUGACGCUGAGGAGCGAAAGCGUGGGGAGCGAACAGGAUUAGAUACCCUGGUAGUCCACGCCGUAAACGGUGGGUACUAGGUGUGGGUUUCCUUCCUUGGGAUCCGUGCCGUAGCUAACGCAUUAAGUACCCCGCCUGGGGAGUACGGCCGCAAGGCUAAAACUCAAAGGAAUUGACGGGGGCCCGCACAAGCGGCGGAGCAUGUGGAUUAAUUCGAUGCAACGCGAAGAACCUUACCUGGGUUUGACAUGCACAGGACGCGUCUAGAGAUAGGCGUUCCCUUGUGGCCUGUGUGCAGGUGGUGCAUGGCUGUCGUCAGCUCGUGUCGUGAGAUGUUGGGUUAAGUCCCGCAACGAGCGCAACCCUUGUCUCAUGUUGCCAGCGGGUAAUGCCGGGGACUCGUGAGAGACUGCCGGGGUCAACUCGGAGGAAGGUGGGGAUGACGUCAAGUCAUCAUGCCCCUUAUGUCCAGGGCUUCACACAUGCUACAAUGGCCGGUACAAAGGGCUGCGAUGCCGUAAGGUUAAGCGAAUCCUUUUAAAGCCGGUCUCAGUUCGGAUUGGGGUCUGCAACUCGACCCCAUGAAGUCGGAGUCGCUAGUAAUCGCAGAUCAGCAACGCUGCGGUAGAAUACGUUCCCGGGCCUUGUACACACCGCCCGUCACGUCAUGAAAGUCGGUAACACCCGAAGCCAG
rnacentral:rRNA from 1 species